GAAAAAGUGCACCUUGGACUUGAGAUGUUAGAAGCUUUAAACUUAAAUUGAUCAUUUGGGAGUGAAAUGGGUAUGAAAAAGGGGCUUCCUUUAGAUGAAUCAAAUACUUGCCUCUACACAUGGAAGAGCCAGAAAAAUUCAAGAGUCCUUUUUUUAAAUUUUGAUAAGUAAACUCCAAAUGGCUCUCUUCUAACCAGAAUCCAAAAGGUGCAUUCUCUAUCCAGAUUAAUAGGGGAGAGCUCAUCCACUCUAAAUUGACAUUUAGCAGAGAGCGUAGUUGAGUGAAUGGGUACACAAGUAAUGGAGAACAGGGGGCAGAGCAAUUCUGUGAAGUUACUUUUCACAAUUCUGUUUUAACGGUCUAGGGAAUGGUAUUAGCUUACCUCAAGGCCUUCACGUUCUACCAUAUGAAGAGCAUAUAAUUUCCAUCUUAAUUUAUGAUAUUGUUUGAUGAUCUACAGCCUACAGGGAACAUCUGAUUUACAAUUAACAAGAUCAAACUUCAGUUGAGUCACACUGUCUUCAUAAUUUCCAAUUUUCGAGAUCAAGGAAAAAUCAUGAAUUUUCUCCAUCUUAGAUGCUCAUAGCUAGAGAAGGACAUAAAAAGAAAAUAAAAAGACAGUCAGGAAACGAGCAUUGGAAAGAAGAAUAUAGGACAGAGUUGUGAAAAUAUUAUGAAGAAAGAAGCUGAAACCUAACAAAAUUUGACUAAUAAAGAAAAUUUAUAACUAGCAAAUAAGAAAGUACAUCAUCUCAUGUAUAGACACAACGGCAAAUAGAAUAACAACCUCAACAAGAGCAGUUAUCUGAUUUU
rnacentral:lncRNA from 1 species